GACGAACGCUGGCGGCGUGCCUAAUACAUGCAAGUAGAACGCUGAAGAGAGGAGCUUGCUCUUCUUGGCUGAGUUGCGAACGGGUGAGUAACGCGUAGGUAACCUGCCUUGUAGCGGGGGAUAACUAUUGGAAACGAUAGCUAAUACCGCAUAACAAUGGAUGACACAUGUCAUUUAUUUGAAAGGGGCAAUUGCUCCACUACAAGAUGGACCUGCGUUGUAUUAGCUAGUAGGUGAGGUAAUGGCUCACCUAGGCGACGAUACAUAGCCGACCUGAGAGGGUGAUCGGCCACACUGGGACUGAGACACGGCCCAGACUCCUACGGGAGGCAGCAGUAGGGAAUCUUCGGCAAUGGGGGCAACCCUGACCGAGCAACGCCGCGUGAGUGAAGAAGGUUUUCGGAUCGAAAAGCUCUGUUGUAAGUCAAGAACGGGUGUGAGAGUGGAAAGUUCACACUGUGACGGUAGCUUACCAGAAAGGGACGGCUAACUACGUG
rnacentral:rRNA from 1 species